UAGUGGGCGGGGUAUGGUGGUACGGUUCACGGUGGUAUGGUUCGUACAGUUCGUGUGGCUGGUGUGGCUUCCGCUACUUGGAAGAGAGGACCUCGGUCGAGUCGGCCGCGAACAUGAACGAAUCUGCCGUCGGCUGAUCGGGGAGUCCGGCAUGGGAGCUUCGGACGGUCUCCCGUGAACGUCCUUGUUUUCCGGAAACAGCAACACCAGGAAGCACGGACGGGGACAGUGAUGGGCGAUCACAUACCGGUACUUCUAGUCACCGCCAAUGUAGGAUCCAUCUUUGAAGAGCCCCAGACACUUCUGCCGGGAUGGAUUGGUGCAUUCCUUGCGACGGUCAAAAAGAAUCAGCCCAGCUUUUUGGCACUUCAUUGUCAAGAAGUUGGUGGCAAGAACUACGAGAAGACCAUGCCACAUGUGGCCGAUUUCAUCAGGGCACUAGUGUCGAGCGAGGAACUGACAAACUACAUGGCAGUACGGGUGUUCUUAGAUGAGGACUUCUCCUGCAUAGAAAAGUUUACGGCUUUAGGCAACUUGUACUUUGUUCACCAGUCACUCAAGAACCCCCAAAUCUGGGAUUUUCAGGAGUGUCGUUUCCUGCCUGUCACGGGGGUGGAGGUGCACUCUGGAAACAUAGAGAAAGUGUUGUCCAAAGAAAAAGUUAAAUUCCCGCAGGAAUUCUUUCCCGAGUGCAAGUGGUCCAGGAAAGGUUUUAUGAGGACAAGGUGGAGCCUGCAUGGCACUGUAUUUGAUCUAAUCAAUAUCCAUUUGUUUCACGACGAGUCAAACUUCAUAGCAAUGGAAUCUUUUCCUUCUUUGUACACGAGAAACAGACAAGGUGCACUCGACUACACUCUGAACAGGAUACAAAACGACAAGUAUGACAAAGUUCCCUUCUUUAUCUUUGGAGACUUCAAUUUUAGACUCGACACGCAAGCUGUCGUAGAGAAAAUUACUCGAAAGGCUCCUCCGGUCCAGGUGAAGAGUGGCAAGAAUGGGGACGUUACCAAAGUCUUGUUCAGGGACCCCAAAGAUGAGAACCGGGUCGUUCUCACAGUCGAACGCAAAGUGUUUUCUCUGCAAGACCAUGAGGAAGCGUUUUCCAGGAACAAUGGCAAAUGGCUGCAAGAGCAUGAUAGAGAGCCGAGCUUAUUCAAAGACCGCCUGUUUGAGUUUGACAUUGCCUUCCCACCAAGCUACCCGUUCAAGGAAGACUGUUCCGGGGCCCACAGCUACAUGCACACACGGUGCCCGGCUUGGUGCGACCGAAUCCUCCUGAGCAAGGCAGCCAGGGCACUGGUGUACACGGGCACGGACGAAUCUGGGAAGCCCCCCGUGACUUACCAAGUGAUGGGCGCUGAUGUGUGCAUGGGGGACCACAAGCCCGUGGCCCUGUACUUCCGCAUGGCCCCCUCGGCUGCAGGUACGUUCCCAGCCAAAGACAAGGCGAGCGCCGGCGGGACGCAGUCGCCGAGGUUGCUUGGCGGCUGCCCCGCGUGCCACCUCCUCUGACUGCGCAUGACCCAUUGGCUGCAUGAUCAUUACAUUUGCUUUGAGCGUGGUAGUUUGGAGUAUUUUUCUUCGUGUCUAGGUGCAUGACGCCUCUAGUCAACCGCCCAGUCAGAAUAGGUUUGAUGUGCCUCUUUGUGUUGAGUGGAGCGAGAGACCUGCCGCUGAGGAAGCGGCCACCCGCUACAUUCAGGUCAAGGUGCCUGGCUCUCCCGUUCGCAUCUUCCGAGAAACAACUGUCUGAAGACGAGGUUUGGGCGAGGCCCAUCUGCCGCCAGCUCUGCGCUGCACCUUGGCUGAGCACCACAUCAGCGUGUCGUGUGCUUUUUGAGCCUGGACAUGUUACGGUGCCUCACUUCCAGGCAGACGACGUGGCUGCACCCGUUGUUCAGCUACUAGCGCCACACCUUUUUAAGGUCUCCUUUGGGGAACGGUUUUAGCCUUUGGAUGACACCCGCACCAAUGUACCUUACUCUGCACGUUUGUAGCAGAGUGUCGAGAGGUAUUCUUUUUACCGGGCUCCCGGAUGUGACAUGGACUUUUUGAGGUUGCGUGUUUCGGGGCGAAUCUCCAGAUUGUGCGAGCAUUGGGCGGACAGGAUGGUAGCGUUGUUUGCGCCUGGAGGCACAAGUGGCAAAACUGGACUCAAGUAGCCAAGGUUUGGAUGUCGUUCUGUCACCACGGGGUGUCCCUUGCGUCCUUUCGCAAUGUCUGAAACGGUGUCUGUGCACCGGGACACAUUUUGGGAGAUUCCCGCUUGUUCGAGGGCCGUUCUGGGCCCUACCGAGAUUAUCCACGAGCGAUCGGCUCCCCCUCCUUGCCCCCAAGUGCACCUGGUUUACUAGUAUUUAUAACUUCUUUGUGGUGCCAAAUUUGGUCAUUUUGUGCAUGUGUGCGCAAGACCUUUUGUGUUCUGGCAUCUGUCAACUGAUUGUGCUACCACCACCAUUUCUAGAUGUCGCUCGUUAUUUAAUGCUGUGAUGCACCGUGGUGUGUUUCCCCCCUUGCGCGUCGUACAAAGUGUUAACAGUGCAGUGUUCCGUCCAGAGGCCUCAACCACCUCGCCGUGAUGCUGUACGAUCGUCACAAAGUCAAGUUUCUCUUUUUAAACGUCAUUUUCAUAAGCACUUUUUUUUUUUCAGUAGUCUAAACAAACAUUCAGAAGAAACUUGCUUGGCCAUCACUUGCCAUUUUGAAUCGGACUGCAAUAAAUCGUGUACAUGCUCAA